rnacentral:rRNA from 1 species
UACGUAGGGUGCGAGCGUUAAUCGGAAUUACUGGGCGUAAAGCGUGCGCAGGCGGUUCGUUGUGUCGGUGGUGAAAGCCCCGGGCUCAACCUGGGAAUGGCCAUGGAAACUGGCGAACUGGAGUGUGGCAGAGGGGGGUGGAAUUCCGCGUGUAGCAGUGAAAUGCGUAGAGAUGCGGAGGAACACCGAUGGCGAAGGCAGCCCCCUGGGCUAACACUGACGCUCAGGCACGAAAGCGUGGGGAGCAAACAGG